CAAUCAAUACUGUUCCAUGUCAGCUGAUCCGUCUCAGAACAUCUACUCAGAGUUUGAUGAAGACUUUGAUGAAGAUGUGGAGACUCCUAUAGGAAAGGCUACUGCCCUCUACACCUUCCAAGGUUCCAGUCAGGGGACAGUGUCUAUAACAGAAGGCGAGCAGCUCAGUGUGAUGGAGAGUGAUAAAGGAGAUGGAUGGAUGAGGGUUCUACGAGCCAACGGAGACGAAGGAUACAUCCCUCAUC